GUUUCCUUGAGUGCAGUUGAGGCAGGCGGAAUUCGUGGUGUAGCGGUGAAAUGCUUAGAUAUCACGAAGAACCCCGAUUGCGAAGGCAGCUUGCUAAACUGUAACUGACGUUCAUGCUCGAAAGUGUGGGUAUCAAACAGGAUUAGAUACCCUGGUAGUCCACACGGUAAACGAUGGAUACUCGCUGUUGGCGAUAUACUGUCAGCGGCCAAGCGAAAGCAUUAAGUAUCCCACCUGGGGAGUACGCCGGCAACGGUGAAACUACAAAGGAAUUGACGGGGGCCCGCACGAAGCGGAGGGUCGACGCGAAGGAGCGAUCUGGAGCAAAUCCCCAAAAAACCGUCUCAGUUCAGAUUGCAGGCUGCAACUCGCCUGCAUGAAAGGCGGAAUCGCUAGUAAUCGCAGGUCAGCAUACUGCGGUGAAUCCGUUCC
rnacentral:rRNA from 1 species